rnacentral:lncRNA from 1 species
GUAGGUUACCCAUAGUACUUUUUAUAAACAUUCAAAAGAUCUAACAUGCAAUAUGUAAUUUCUACCCAAAAUUUGUAACAUAAAUGCAAGUGACAAACUAUGAAAAGUGCUCUUUAGCAUAUGAAGAGAUAUAGCAAAAAAUACUAGUCACAGGGUCUUUCCAGUGUACAUCUACUCCAUUCACUCACUCAUUCAUUCAUUCAUUCAUUCUCCAGGUGGCAGGGUCUCGACCCAGUCAGGCCUUAAACUCACAACUGUCUGCCUGCCUCUGCUUUUUGAGUUGCUAGGAUUAGAAAUGUGUACCACUACACCAACUUUACUUCAGAUAUGCUUGACUACAGUUUUUUUUUUUUAAUACAUGACAGUUACUAGCAAAUAUUACCUGUAAUGAGUUCUUCAGCCUACUAACUAUAUUAAGUCUACAUUAAUUCCAUUAAGAGAUAAUUAACUUCCGAGUCUGUAACUUUCUAAAACUCAUUUCCCGACGUGGCCAGACACCGAGGAAAGGCUACAGUAUAUGUUGACAGGAUUUAGAUCUGUAACCGUGGCCCCAGUCAGCAGCUCUGUCCUCUCAGGAACGCCUCCCUCUGUUGUCUUCUCCCUACUCUUAAACUCACACACGUUCCUGCCACCACAGAGCAGGCUCGGGAUUGCUUCUGUCACUUAGCAUGCUUCUCAGAUUCUUCGGUUUGUGGUGGCCACUGGAUUAAUAAUUUGUUCCCUCUUUUUUUCUUUUCUAUUUUUUUUCUUUUUUACUAAUUAGUAUUCUACUGCAUGAAAACCUAAGCCUGUCACGUACAUCUUUAACUUUUAUUUAAAUGUCUUCUUGAAAAUGAUGCUGCAGUUAUACUUGACUCAUAAUGGUAAAGGUCUUUCUAGCACUAAAAACUUAAGAAAUCCAAAAUAAUCUGUAUUGGAGAAAGGCAGAGUGUGCUAAUUACUCUACUCAAACCCUGGGGGUGGGGCAGUCUGACAGGGGCUCUCUCAGUCAGUGUGUGUGCACUUGACAUGUGCAAGGCCAUGGCCACUUCUCCUACGUAGUGAAUCUGAAAGUCUCAGUCAUUGGACACAUAGCGUGGAUUUAAUAUACUUUACCACCUGAUACUUUCUUUUCAAAUGCUUAGAGAAUCACUUUAUUGUUUUUCUUCUAUUUUUAAAACCUCAUUUAAUAAAAAUUACCAUAAAAUUAGUGCUACAAAACACCAAAGAUGGUCUUGUAAACCACAGUAGUUGCCAGGACUUAAGAAGGAAGCAGUAUGGAGUUUGGGGUAUGAUGCAGCUGUUUACCAUGGAGGCAGUAUUGGUAUCAGAUAUAUAUGUUAUAAUUUCAUACAACUAUAGACCAAGAUGGGGAGUGGGAAGCUGAGUUUAUUGUGUGGUUGUUUUAAAAAGAAAGAUCAACUUUACAGUUACAGGAGAAAAGCAUUUUCAUCUUUAAUUUUUAUUAUUUUGCUAUUUCGGUGUUUUCUUUCUUCUUCGUUGUUUUGUUUCUUCCAUUUUCUGGAGUCAGCUGACCAUGACCUACUACUAGCCUUGGCUGUACUGGACUUUCCUAUAAUACGCAGGGUUUUGCUUGGACCUUGUCAUUUGAAGGAAUUACUACACUGAAAGGUUUAAUAGCCCAGUCUUUAAUUCACUGUCCCUUAACAAGGUUAUGUAUGAUUACACUUUGUAUAUAAUAAGACUUUGGGAUUUGUUAAAACUAAAAUUUAAAGUGUUGAAUCAUUGUGACCCAUAUUUAUAAAAUUAGCCUUAAAAUAAAAUAUAUUAAGCCUAUUUUGUUUCAUUAGG